AUUUGUUUGACUAUUCCUCCUGCGCCCGAGCGGCUAUACGGGGAUCUAAUCCAGUCUUGCAGAGACCACCAGAAAGAAAGCGCGCAUCGUUGUUUUUUUUCCUCGAUUUCUCGUCGUCCCCCGCUGAACAGCCACCGAAAUCCAGCGCUGAUACUCGUACAUCAAAACUUUCUUAUUUGGCUUUUGCGUGUGGCUAAACCGCAGGGCGCCAAGCCGUCGCGAGUCCCUAUAUUCAACGAUUCCGCUCUGCAGAGGCGGCAAUUUACGCGAAAGUUGCAGCGAAGAGGGCCAAAAACAAUCGGAGCUGACUUCGCCGCCGCGGACGGACAUAAAAGUUCGUCCCUUCCGGACACACGGCGCGGCCAUAUAGCUGGGGUUAUCCAUAUUCACAGAUUUCAUUGUGAGCUAUCUCGCCAGUGCAUCGCGGAGCGUCUGCAAUUUUUCAGAAAUUCUUGGUGAAUACGUGAAAAAAGUAACCCCGCGAUGGCCGAAUGAUAAGGCCAUUCAUCGUGGUGUCAGUCGGAGAAAAAAUUUCGGAAAACUAGGACGACGAACAAAGAGCAAUGCUGGCAAGUAUACGCUCGCGGCUCUUUAAUUAACGGCAACAAUAAUGUGGACGGGCUUUUCUCUGGAAUUGAAAAAUUUGAAUGAACGAGAAGAUGGAUUACGUCUAUUAUGUGCAUUUUCCCUCGCGCGCGUUUUAGUUUUCGUACUUUUUAUUCGCGGAGAUCAUUUCAAUUAAACAACAUUUUCCAUGGC